CAGCCGCCACGGUAAUACGUAGGUGGCAAGCGUUAUCCGGAAUUAUUGGGCGUAAAGCGCGCGUAGGCGGUUUUUUAAGUCUGAUGUGAAAGCCCACGGCUCAACCGUGGAGGGUCAUUGGAAACUGGAAAACUUGAGUGCAGAAGAGGAAAGUGGAAUUCCAUGUGUAGCGGUGAAAUGCGCAGAGAUAUGGAGGAACACCAGUGGCGAAGGCGACUUUCUGGUCUGUAACUGACGCUGAUGUGCGAAAGCGUGGGGAUCAAACAGGAUUAGAUACCCCCGUAGUCCCUGUCUCUUAUAC
rnacentral:rRNA from 1 species